AUACGUAGGGUCCAAGCGUUAAUCGGAAUUACUGGGCGUAAAGCGUGCGCAGGCGGUUGUGCAAGACCGAUGUGAAAUCCCCGGGCUUAACCUGGGAAUUGCAUUGGUGACUGCACGGCUAGAGUGUGUCAGAGGGAGGUAGAAUUCCACGUGUAGCAGUGAAAUGCGUAGAGAUGUGGAGGAAUACCGAUGGCGAAGGCAGCCUCCUGGGAUAACACUGACGCUCAUGCACGAAAGCGUGGGGAGCAAACAGGAUUAGAUACCCUAGUAGUCC
rnacentral:rRNA from 1 species